GUGAGCUGGUCUGACAACACGCUCAACCUCACUUAACUUACACCAUAUAAUAUUUCUUGUUCUUUUACGGUUUAGAGGACAACUGUGAUCGAUAAAACCAGGUGUUAGGACGCCCAUAUUGUAGUGGAGAAACGGAGGGACGUCUGAAGUGAAGUCAAUGACAAGUAAAGUGAGUGUGGAGGAAGAGACAUUAAAGGGAGCCACGACUCUCACACUACUACUGCCUCCCUGGUGUUCCUUACGAUGGCUGAAGUACUGACCGUCGUGGCAGAGGAGAUGGGACGGGUGUUUGGUAUGGUGUGGAGUGGUGUCGGGGUUGCAGUACGUCUCAACAACCAAGUGUAUGAGCACAGUCUUUAAAGCAGCCGCUCGCAUCGUACAGCUUCUCUUGCUCCUCACACACAAGGCUGCUGAUCUGUUGUCAUUGUUGGUGACUGACCUCAUGCUCUUCCUCGGGCGUGGGUGGUGCCGUGCUGGCAGUAGGUGUCGGGCUACAGACUGGAGUGAUGACGAUCUUUAACUUUGAUAGUGCCGUUUUCUUCGGCAUCAUUUCUGCUGCCGUCUACUCGUGCCACCUCGUCCGGGUUUCGUACUGCGCCAUCAUCUCUGCAGCGAUGACUGUGAUGGUGCAGCUGGGGAACUUCAUCACUGCUCUCAAACACGCCUUCAUCAUGUUUGGGUGCGU